rnacentral:rRNA from 1 species
AACGAACGCUGGCGGCAUGCCUAACACAUGCAAGUCGAACGAGACCUUCGGGUCUAGUGGCGCACGGGUGCGUAACGCGUGGGAACCUGCCCUUAGGUUCGGAAUAACUCCCCGAAAGGGGUGCUAAUACCGGAUAAUGUCUUCGGACCAAAGAUUUAUCGCCUUUGGAUGGGCCCGCGUUUGAUUAGCUAGUUGGUAGGGUAAAAGCCUACCAAGGCGACGAUCCAUAGCUGGUCUGAGAGGAUGAUCAGCCACACUGGGACUGAGACACGGCCCAGACUCCUACGGGAGGCAGCAGUGGGGAAUAUUGGACAAUGGGCGAAAGCCUGAUCCAGCAAUGCCGCGUGAGUGAUGAAGGCCUUAGGGUUGUAAAGCUCUUUUACCCGGGAUGAUAAUGACAGUACCGGGAGAAUAAGCUCCGGCUAACUCCGUG